AAGCCAUGAUGAGGACAAGCAUUGAUGUCCUCCAUAUACCUUUCCCAACAUUCAUGGAACUUCUCAUUUUCUUUUGCAGAAAAGUUUGAGAUUUGUCUCUUCAACCC
rfam:Vitis vinifera, whole genome shotgun sequence of line PN40024, unoriented chromosome 12, chr12